rnacentral:rRNA from 1 species
AUUGAACGCUGGCGGCAGGCCUAACACAUGCAAGUCGAGCGGAUGAAGGGAGCUUGCUCCUGGAUUCAGCGGCGGACGGGUGAGUAAUGCCUAGGAAUCUGCCUGGUAGUGGGGGAUAACGUCCGGAAACGGGCGCUAAUACCGCAUACGUCCUGAGGGAGAAAGUGGGGGAUCUUCGGACCUCACGCUAUCAGAUGAGCCUAGGUCGGAUUAGCUAGUUGGUGGGGUAAAGGCCUACCAAGGCGACGAUCCGUAACUGGCCUGAGAGGAUGAUCAGUCACACUGGAACUGAGACACGGUCCAGACUCCUACGGGAGGCAGCAGUGGGGAAUAUUGGACAAUGGGCGAAAGCCUGAUCCAGCCAUGCCGCGUGUGUGAAGAAGGCCUUCGGAUUGUAAAGCACUUUAAGUUGGGAGGAAGGGCAGUAAGUUAAUACCUUGCUGUUUUGACGUUACCAACAGAAUAAGCACCGGCUAACUUCGUG